rnacentral:rRNA from 1 species
AGAGUUUGAUCCUGGCUCAGAUUGAACGCUGGCGGCAUGCUUUACACAUGCAAGUCGAACGGCAGCACAGGGAGCUUGCUCCCGGGUGGCGAGUGGCGCACGGGUGAGUAAUACAUCGGAACGUGUCCUGUUGUGGGGGAUAACUGCUCGAAAGGGUGGCUAAUACCGCAUGAGACCUGAGGGUGAAAGCGGGGGAUCGCAAGACCUCGCGCAAUUGGAGCGGCCGAUGCCCGAUUAGCUAGUUGGUGAGGUAAAGGCUCACCAAGGCGACGAUCGGUAGCUGGUCUGAGAGGACGACCAGCCACACUGGGACUGAGACACGGCCCAGGACCUCCGUACGGGACGGGACGACG